CGAUCUAUAAGAACUUGCAUGAUUUUAAUAUCAAACUACUGAGACUAUUGCUUUAUUUAAAUACGACAAUAGACAUACUCUUCAUAGUAAUAUUUGCAACAUGUCUGGUUAACACACGGCAGUGCCUCUACAAAAACGAUGCUGUAAUUCAAACGAAAGCAUACUCGACUCCAAAAUCCUGAUCAAAUACAUCUAUUGCGAAUAUAACUAAUUUCAGUUCCUUUUGUGCUAACCGUGAUCAUGCGUUUGAAUCGUGUUUCCGACGAGAAAAAGAAGAUGACGCCGAAUUUCAAUUCAAAAUCGACUGUUCCAGGUUUUGAAACGACUACUAAUAUAUUAACCGGAGCAGAUUUAUUACGUGAUAAGAAUACAUGUGGAAAAUUUAGUAUCCUUGCCGAUGUUUUGCACAUACGAACAAGUCAAUUAUGCUUUGACAGUUUAGAUUACAAUUCAACAAUCAGUCCGUUUAAAUCGAAGUAAUGCACCAACACAUUCAAAACAGGAUGGUCGAGGCGGAGAGAAGAUACAAAGCUAGGUUUUUGAGAGGUCGAGCUACGAUUAAAAGAUUCCAGAAGGGAGAUAUUGUAAUAAUAAAAAUAUAACCCCAGAAAUCGGAUAUCCCUAUAUUUAAAAUUUUGUGAACUAUACAAAAUCCAGAAAAUAAUUGAGAAUGAUUAAUAUCUUGUAAAGUGAUUUUAGACCGUGGAUGACUUCGAAAUGUGGCACAUGACCAGCUACGAAUGUGGCACAUGACCAGCUACGAUGAGACUUCACAGCAUCUGAGGGACGACACAGAAUUACUAAGCAAGCAGUUAGGUGGACGGUUCGCCUACCUAAUAGUUAUCCGAAAACAAUGCAGAGCACGCAUCAGUAUAACCGUAUCGGCAUGACUUCGGACGAUGAAGCAUCAAUUCUUGAACCUGGCCCAUACUCUACGAGACCUGCAACGGGUACGAGAACAUAACAAAAGAUAAGCAAGAGAGAACACAUCACCAGGCAGGUGCAGAGCACGCACCGCCUGCCAGAAUGGCCGUAUCGGCGCAAGCAGCUUCAAUGACGGAUGCAACAUGGAAAUAACUGGCACCAAUUAUUAUAACACCUUAUUGGUCGUCGUUACUAUUGUUAAAAGUAAAACGAAAUCAAAGAGAAUAGAACUAUGUUUGAAUUCUGGUUUAAAUAUGACGUCUGGACGCACGACAGGGGACUGCAGAGUUCAGCGAGUGCGGAGCAUAAAGAACCUUCGAGAAAUACAAGAACAUUUAGAAGAA